rfam:Schistosoma rodhaini strain Burundi genome assembly, scaffold: SROB_contig0003394
AUCCGGCUGAAGAGUUCGAAAUAGGACGAAACGCGCGUUCUGUAU